GACGUUUUCUUUUCUUUUUUCAUUUAUCUGCUUCUCCUUCUAUUGUGGCAAAGUGGAGCAGGAGGAAGUGAACACUAGGACGUGAACAGACCAAACCAGGAUGAGGAUGGAGCCAAGACAAAGAAAAGAGCAGUCUGUAAACUCUUUUUUUACUCUACCAGUUGUUUCGUUGUUUUUAAAGAUUGUACUGAUAUGUAUGUUAUUUAGAUCAGGUAUUUUUUCCAUUAUGAUCUUUUAUACUUUCUUUUAAAGUGAACUUAAUGGAAUUAAGAUCUGUGCUUUGGUGGGAUUAAGAAUCAAGGGUCACUAUUUUGAUGUUUUGUUGAUAUCACAUUGUAAAUCAUAUAUUUAGAGAUGUAGUUGAAAAGGAUGUUUUUCAGAAACAGAUGGAUCAGAAAGUAUCAUGGGACAGCACACAGUCAGUCGUAUGUCUGGAAUUCCGCUAGUUCUGAACUAUUCGUGAUUGGAAAAAGUUCACUACUAGCAGAACUCGAAUAUACAACUGAAUUCUCAACGAAAGCUCAAGAAUAGUUUGGUCUCACAUGGCCUGCCAUUGGACAACUGAUGUAUUCACGGUAUAUAGUGCUGAAUGUGUAUUUAAAAAAAUACAUUUGACUGAAAUUAAUCCAUAUGAUGGAUGUUAAUCUAAAAUGGGCAAAACUUUGCUUUUAUUGCUCAUUGUUUCUCUAACAUCAUCUGUGGUUUAAUUUCUAGAUAAACUACCAAGUUGAUCUUGCUCUUGAUUUGAUUGUGUCAGACUGAUUUGAAAAUUGCAAAAAACUAACUUAACAUUGUUUCUUUGCACUUUUCUCUUGAUUUGGAAGUGAUCUACUUAUUGGAUGAAGGAUGAAGAUUAAGACCAUCCUUGGAUGUGUUACUCCAUUACUCAUAACCGAAGCACUAUGGACUUGAUUACAAUCAGACAUAUGAGACACUUCCCUGUGUUCAUGUUUAGUUGUGGUAAAAUGGUGUACUCAUUACUUCAGUUUGUUUAAAACAGGAAAAACUUUAAUAUAUUUAAUAUAUAUAUAUAUACAUUUGUACGUCACUGCUCUUCAACUGAUACAUUUAACAAACACAAUUCUUUUUUUCAUUGCAUUUAUUGUACAUUUUUAAUGAUAACACUGAACUUAAACUAAUUCUACUGGUUCAGCAAGCCAAGACCAAGUUACAAAAAUGUUGACAUUAAAAGCGAGAAUUCCUAUUG